rnacentral:rRNA from 1 species
CGGUAGCACAGAGAGCUUGCUCUCGGGUGACGAGUGGCGGACGGGUGAGUAAUGUCUGGGAAACUGCCUGAUGGAGGGGGAUAACUACUGGAAACGGUAGCUAAUACCGCAUAACGUCGCAAGACCAAAGAGGGGGACCUUCGGGCCUCUUGCCAUCAGAUGUGCCCAGAUGGGAUUAGCUAGUAGGUGGGGUAACGGCUCACCUAGGCGACGAUCCCUAGCUGGUCUGAGAGGAUGACCAGCCACACUGGAACUGAGACACGGUCCAGACUCCUACGGGAGGCAGCAGUGGGGAAUAUUGCACAAUGGGCGCAAGCCUGAUGCAGCCAUGCCGCGUGUAUGAAGAAGGCCUUCGGGUUGUAAAGUACUUUCAGCGGGGAGGAAGGUGUUGUGGUUAAUAACCGCAGCAAUUGACGUUACCCGCAGAAGAAGCACCGGCUAACUCCGUGCCAGCAGCCGCGGUAAUACGGAGGGUGCAAGCGUUAAUCGGAAUUACUGGGGCGUAAAGCGCACGCAGGCGGUCUGUCAAGUCGGAUGUGAAAUCCCCGGGCUCAACCUGGGAACUGCAUUCGAAACUGGCAGGCUAGAGUCUUGUAGAGGGGGGGUAGAAUUCUAGGUGUAGCGGUGAAAUGCGUAGAGAUCUGGAGGAAUACCGGUGGCGAAAGGCGGGCCCUCUGGACAAAGACUGACGCUCAGUGCGAAAGCGUGGGGAGCAAACAGGAUUAGAUACUCUGGUAGUCCACGUCGUAAACGAUGUCGACUU